AUGAACUUCCAGGACGUCUACACGCUCCAGCAGGCGCUGGACGUCGCCCCUCCGCCUCGUCUUAUCACGGCACAAGACCGUGCGGAGCACGCUGAGCGGCAGCGCCGCCUCCUCAUCACCGAGGAGGACGAGCAGGCCAUGACGGAGUGGCGCCGGCGCCACCCGAAGGACGUCGCCGACGAGCAAGCCUAUUGGGCAGAGCAGACGGCAAAGCGCCGCGCGAAACCGUUGGACAGGCGUCGACAGAAGGCUGUGGCGUUAUCGCAGUGCGAGACCGUCGAAAAUGGUGGGCAGUCGAUCUUUUCGGCUAAUGAUUCUCGUUGGGACGACAUGUGGCUCGAUACCUCGGACCAGACCAGCAAGGAUGACGAUGAUGAUGAUGAUGACGACUGGGAGUAG
rnacentral:rRNA from 1 species